CCUCAACGACACCAUCCACGACUUCUAUGGCUUCCCCGACGCCAUGUAUAAGCUCAAGUAUACGCCGCCUGGAGCUCCGGAGUUGGCGAAGAGGGUGAAACAAGUGCUCACGGCAUCUGGGUUUAAGCGUGUUGAUGAGGAUAAAAAACGGGGGCUUGACCAUGGUGCAUGGGUUCCGCUGAUGUUCAUGUAUCCGGAGGCUG
rnacentral:misc_RNA from 1 species